AUUGAACGCUGGCGGCAGGCCUAACACAUGCAAGUCGAGCGGAGCGGCGGACGGGGGAGGAAUGCCUAGGAAUCUGCCUGGUAGUGGGGGAUAACGUCCGGAAACGGGCGCCAAUACCGCAUAAUAGAAGAUGAGCCUAGGUCGGCUUAGCUAGUUGGUGGGGUAAAGGCCUACCAAGGCGACGAUCCGUAACUGGUCUGAGAGGAUGAUCAGUCACACUGGAACUGAGACACGGUCCAGACUCCUCCGGGAGGCAGCAGUGGGGAAUAUUGGACAAUGGGCGAAAGCCUGAUCCAGCCAUGCCGCGUGUGUGAAGAAGGUCUUCGGAUUGUAAAGCACUUUCAGCGGGGAGGCGUUACCCGCAGAAGAAGCACCGGCUAACUCCGUGCCAGCAGCCGCGGUAAUAC
rnacentral:rRNA from 1 species